AAUCAUUCAGUGUAGUACAAAUUCACAGUUUAACUGGAUUUCUUGGUUGCUUCUCACUCCAAGUUCCAUUUAAAGGUAAACGUGUGGAUCUGAUCUGUAAAAACUUCUGUUGGGUUUGAAGCCUCAGUUCUUAUUUCAGUCUCUAUUUUGAGAAUCCUCCUAGGAUUUUCCAUGGUCUAUCUCUUGACCCAUACAGCACAAUACAACUUUUCCUUGAGGGUUUGUUUAUUUGUUUGUUUGUUUGUUUGUUUGUUUGCAGUUUUUUAGCUGGAGUAAUUUUGUCUUAAAGGACAUGUUGUAAUAUGCAUGUGCAAAUAUGAAGAAAUAUACAGCUUCCAGUGACUUUAAAAAUUCGAGACUUGUUUUAAUAAAAUAGAAUAUUAGUCCAUUUUCUCACGUGAAAAUGUUGAUAUUUAAGUUAUUGUAAUCCAUUUCAUAACAAAAAAUAAAUAAGAUGAACUGGUAAGUUUCUUGGGGAGAAUUAUAUAUCUCCAGCAACACAAGAUUUUGACCAUAUCUCUGUUUUCUUACUUUCAUUGCAGAAACACACAACUUUAGACUCUCAGGCAGAAGAAAACUUGACUGCACUCAGGUUGAGUUGUUACAUGAAAGAGUGUUCAGACUGUUCAUUCUUGCCUCACUGUAACUACUCCAACGUAUCCAAAAAUUGAAAGCCUGCUGCCACACACUGCCUGGGUGAUUGGAGAAGAGAAAAGCUACGCAACCAAGGUUUGCCAUUGCUGUGUCUGCCUGUAGAACAACAAUUUGCAGCAGUGAACUCCUCAUGGUUUCUUUCUCUCUGUUCAAUCCACAGCACCAUUAACCAAAACUUUAGAUGGGUUAUUAGAGAAAAGAUUCCUCCCUCUGAGGGUGGUAAGGCCCUGGCACAGGUUGCCCAGAGAAGCCAUGGCUGCCCCAU